rnacentral:misc_RNA from 1 species
AAGGUAGGACUGGUGACUGGGGUGAAGUCGUAACAAGGUAUCCCUACGAGAACGUGGGGAUGGAUCACCUCCUUUCUACGGAGUACACAGUACAUAAUAUUUUUAANGACUUAUUAAAGUUUGUUUCACAAAACAAUCAAUCNNNUUUUUUAANNGAUUAUGGUUAUUUAUAUCCAGUUUUGAGAGUUCUAUUCUCUCAAAUAUAGAUCUUUGAAAACUGAAUAGAAAAGACAUUUGUAUAUAUUAAUAUUCAAACGUUUUGAUCAACCUAUAGAAUACAUCAUAUCUNNNAUCUAAUAACAANUUAGACAAUAGGAACAUAC